rnacentral:lncRNA from 10 species
UCAUCAACCUUUCUAAUGAAGGCAGCAGCAAAAGUAGUAGAAAGUAAAAGAAUAAGAACAAUAACUUCUCAAGAUCAACCUAAUGGUAAUGAUACCGAAAUAGAAACUGAAGCUAACUUGGAUACAAGAAAAAGGUCUCACAAGAAUCUUUUCUUAUCUAAGUUGAAAUGUGGAGCCCAGCAAUAAGACCUUAAUAAGAAAGAAAGAAGAGUAAGAGCUCUUCAAAGUGCAAAAAAGAAAAAAGAAAGCAGAAGAGCCCCUGAAAGCAGAAUAUCUGUUUCAAAGAGUCAACCAGUAAUUCCUGAAAAACAUCGAGCUAGAAAAAAAACAGACAUGGUUUUGAGAAGAAGACAAGAAUUUGAGAUCUGGCAUGAGGAAAUAUGGAGAGGGAAACUGAUCUAAAAUACUAUUGCAUUAUAAAUUCAACAACCGGACAAGUGUCAUGUUAAAAGACAGAUGGAGGACCAUGAAGAAACCAAAACUGAUUUGCUCAGACAGCGAAGAC